rnacentral:piRNA from 1 species
UAAGAUGGUUCCCCGACGUUUCUCAUUCA